ACUGGCCUGGAACUCUCUCUGUAUCCGAACUCCAACCUACACUUUUUAAAAAGAAAAGAAUGGCUUCCUGGUGGGCCUUUGGAUGAGCCAGGUUUCAGCCCCAUGCUCCACCUUCCUUUCCCACUGCCAUUUACAACAGCCACACUGCUCUGCCGGCGUUUGUCCUGGUGCCUCCUGCUGCCCGAGAAUCACGGAAAGCAACUGUUCCAGACUCACACCCCAGGGGCCAGUUUGUCAAAACCUCUGGAGCCAUAACAGUGGCUGGAAAAAUCCAGUCUCUGGCCUUAAGCUUUCCAAACUUCUGGAUCCAAGAAGGCCUUUUGCCAAUGUGGAUAUCCCAGUUUGUGUUCCUUGGGAUCACGACAUCCUGUGAGGUAUUAGCAAACAUUUUAAAAGUAUCAUGGCCAAAUAAAUUUAGGAAAUGCCAAAGUAAAAUUCAGUAAGUUUCUUUCCCUCUUAGUGCCUUUAUCAUGCAAAUAAUUCAGCCCCCCUCCCCAAGAAAACACAUGACAUUAGAUAUUCUGGGACUCUUGGUCCAUUGAACAGGUUUUUGGUUUUUGCCCCCCACCCCCAUUCUGCUGCCUUCUGUCUGUGAUUGUCUGAACUUCUUCAGUAAAGAUGUCUCUUUCUUCCUUUUCUCCUAAGCAUUAGGGAAAUCACCUGCUCCUUCUAUCUGCCUUAUACUCCAUGGAAUAAUGCAGUUCCUCAGCCAGCAUCAACCCCAACAGCAAGCUCAGUGUUUUUUGUUGUUUUGUUUUUGAGGCAGGAUCUCAUGUAUCCCAGGUUGGCCUCAAACUCAGUAUGUAGAAGGUUGUGAACUGCCAUGUAUGUGCUGGGACUCGAACCUAGGUCCCCUGGGAGAACAGCAAGUGCUCUUAACCACUGAGCCAUCUCCCCUGCCUCACAAGUUCACUUUUUAGGGGCAUAAAUGGCUUCUAUAAUCCAGGUCCAGGCCACUCCUCUCUUGGAUGCUGCUGUCACAUCCCCCCCUCCACCCUCAAUCCCCUCACCCCCUGUGAUGGGGUCAGCCAGAAACACCUGUGUUUCUGAGUAUGCAGUAGUCAUGUGCUGCUCUUGCUGCCUGGUACACCUUUCCCUCUGUGUGUUGUGAAAGCUGGCACCCAUGCCCCGAACUCCUCACACCCCCAACCCCUCCCUGCUUCUAGACCAGGAGCACAUUGCUGACCCAUCACCACAGUCAUGUGUUAACAGACGUUUCUGUCCGGCCAGCAACUCCCACAUACCCGGUAGCCACUUUCUAAAUUACCACACAGAAACUUAUAUUAAUUAUAAAUGUUUGGCCAAUAGCUCAGACUUGUAUUAAUUAGCUCUUAUUUUAAAUUAACCCAUUUCUAUUAAUCUAUGUAUUGCCAUGUGGCCUGUGGCUUACCGGUCCUUCAGCAUCCUGCUUCUUGGGUGGCUUGAGUGUCUGUCCCGACUCCAUCCCUCUCUCUUAGUUUGAUUCUUCAACCUAACCUUAUCCUGUCUUGCCAUAGGCUAAAACAACUUUAUUAUCAACCAAUGAGAGCAACACACAUUUCAAGCAUACAGGAGGAUCUUCUCAUAGCAGUAAUGAACCAGUCAAUGGGCUCCAAGCCCUGUGGCAUCUCUGGCACUUCCCCCUAGGCACCUGAUCUUGACUCCAUGGGCUAGAGUGUAGGACAUGCCCAGACCAUGCUGAACUAGAGCCUGAAGCUGAUCCAGAGACAAGACUCCUGGGCCUAGGCACCACUGACUGCCACACUUGUUGCUCCUGCUCUGCUUAGUUAGCAUGAGGAAAGUAUUUCCCCUGUGUGUAUAUCGUUUAUGCUUCCCCUUCCUUUUCUUCAAGGAGGUUACGUGUCUUCUACUUAGCACCUAGCUAGGUCCCCCUGUUUUCCUCUUCAGACCUUUUAUAAGCUUUGCUGCCAUACGUGCUUCAGCGUGAAUCUAACUUGUUCUCUGCAUUCUGUUUCACCCUCCUUUCCAGUCCCUUUUGAUUGGCAUUUUUAUUAUCCCAAUUCCCUGCUUAUUAUGUUGUCUGUAGUAUCCUUUCCUCCUUAUGUACCUAUUAUCUGUAAGUUGACACCGUUUGUCCUUGACUUGUCACACUCUCGGGUAAAUUAGUGCUUUGGCCAUCAUCCAGAGAGCACAAAGGCCCUUAGAGAAUCCUGCUCCCAUUCAUCCCUCUUUUAGUUUGUUUUCACGUUUGUCCCUUCUCGGCCUCCGUAAGGACAUCUGCCAUGCUGCCAGUGACUCACCCGUGUCAGUCAGUGCCCGAGUCCAUCCCCUGGCUUUGAGAUUUGAAGGACUUGUGCCUCUUGCAGUUCAUUCCCUGCUCGUGCCUGAAGAUAGGAACUUGCAGUUUCCUGCCCCUGCUGUGCCCCCUGCCAUGGUGGACUCCUCUCCCUCUGGCACAUGCAUCCUCUCCUCAGCCAUGGUGUGUUACCACAACAGAAAGUAACCGAUGCACGCAAAUAUUCCCAAGGCAGCUUUUGAGCUCUGCUAGCUCUCCGUCACCUCUUGAAGAGUCCGCUUCAGUGCUCAACCUCUCAUCAUCACUUUAAACCCGAUAAAGCCCACCUGACCACUUCCUGCUACGGGAGCCAAUACAGGAGCCAAGAUAAGAGAGGCCCGGAGCUCACCUGCCGGCCCUCAGCUGUGCUGUGCUCCUCGGACCUGCCAAAUGAACAUCCUCCCCCAAGUGGAACAGAAAUAGCAAGCCUUCUACAGGCACACCAGAGGUUUUCAUACUUCUCUAGUGAACGGGGCACUUGGAGACAGACAAUGAUGUUGAAGUCAACAGUUGGGUUUUUGUUUUUUUGUUUUUUUGUUUGUUUGUUUUUGUUUUUCCUCUAUCCGUUAAUGGUUAGCGUGACUGUGAAAACGAAAGCAUACAGUAUCUCUGUAUUUUUAGCUGGGUGGCUGGUGUGGCUUGGCUAGCUCCUGGGAUAGAAGGAGUUCACCGUCAGCUCUUCAAUCUGCUGAUUUUGAAUCUGGCAAUACUGACCACAGAUGGGAAAUACUUGAAAACAACGGCAUGCUGUUGCUUGGCAUGUCCUGGUUAGUCAGGCACAUGACAGUUGAGCCUGCACUUAACACGGGCGGACUUUCUUGUCCAGGGUACUCUUCUCUGCUGUGGGAUGUUCUGUAUGUUAAAUGUGUUGCUCUGAUUGGUUAAUAAAUAAAUCACUGAUUGGCCAGUAGCCAGGCAGGAAGGAUAGGCAGGACAAGCAGAGAAGAGAAUUCUGGGAAGUGGAAGGCUGAGGCAGAGAGACACUGCCAGCCGCCGCCAUGACAAGCGAGAUGUAAGGUACCGGUAAGCCACAAGCCAUGUGGCAAAGUAUAGACUAAUAGAAAUGGGUUAAUUUAAGAUAGAAGAACUAGAUAACAAGAAGCCUGCCACGGCCAUACAGUUUAUAAGCAAUACAAGUCUCUGUGUUUACUCAGUUGGGUCUGAGCAGCUGCGGGACUGGCGGGUGAGAGAGAUUUGUCCUGACCAUGGGCCAGGCAGGACUAGAAAAACUCUAGCUACAAUUCUCUGAAGGACAUAGGCUGUGGAUGUUUGCACAGCAUUCACAGUGUAUGGGUAUUGUAAGGACUGUAGAAGUGAUUGAAAAGUCUACAGGGGUGCGAUCCAGAAAUGGCUCAGUAUAAAGAAUUUGUGGGACAAGUAUGAGGACCUGAGUUUAGGGCACUAGAAUCGACACUUUAAAAAAGCAGGAGCAGCAGUGCACACCUAUAAUCCCAGCACUGGGGAGGUGGAGACAGGAGGGUCUCUAGCGUGCUGGCCAGCCAGUCCAGUUGAAUGGGUAAGCUCCAAGUUCAGUGAGAAUAUUGUCCUAAAGGAAAACAUUGUGAGGAUUGUUUGAAGAAGAUACCUAACAUCCACCUCUGGCCUCCACAUGCAUGCGCAUGUAUGUGCACAUGUAACUAUACCUCUGAACACACACACACACACACACACACACACACACACACACACACACACACACACACAAAUAAAAGAAGGAAGGAUAGACUGAGAGAAAGAAAGAAAAAGAAAAUCUGUGUGAAGAAGUGGAGGAGUUGUAUGCAAAUACCCCACUAUUUCCUGACUGUGACAUCCAUGACUUCUGUGUCUUGGAAUCAGUCUCUUUGAAGCCUAGGGUUCAUACCUCUGGUAUCACACAGAACUGUGAACUUGAUUUCUGUUGCCUGAGUAAAGUGAACACAAGGUUCCAAUGGAUCCAAACUCUUCCUUUUAUGGAUAACUAUAAUUUGAAGGCUCCAGGGCCAAUGAGAAAAUCAAGGACUUGCAGAGGAGAGCAGCCCCUAGUGUGCAGGGCAUGGCAAAGGUGUAGCACCUCUUCCCUUCCUGUGUGAGGGAUAAUCCCUGGGCUCUGGAAGGAAGGCCAGCAACAGCCACGCUGCUCCAGCUGACAGCACAGAAAAAUUGGAGACCCUGGUGUCAGAUCUUUUGAUCUUUCAAAGGGGGCUGGAAGUUCAAAGGAUGAUGCGCUCUAUCAGAUUUUUAAAUACUGGCUUGACUAAAAAGAAUCCACUGCAAGCCAAACAAAAUACAUCUCUGAGCCAAGAUCAGCCUCGUGUGGACAAUUUGUGCCUCCUGUGAUCAUAAAAGUCAGAAAGCAUAGACACCAGGCUUCAUCUUGCAUCCCCAUGCUGCUAUUCUCGGAGAAGCAAAGCAUGCUAACCCUCGGCAGUUUGCUGUCGCUCUGCAUUCUGAGCACACGAGGGCUUCUCCUCCCGGCCACCUGAACUGGACCAGAUUUUAUUUGCUCAGCUAAAAUCAUGAGAUUUACAGCUUAGACUUCUGGGGUUUAUAUAGUUCCCCCAAAUUGUCUUCAUGGACAGCCAUGAUGAAGUUUUUGUUUGUUUUCUAGUUACUUCCCUUUAUUCCCAUCAGCGUGAUAAUGAUCAAGGGCUGGUGUAUGCCUGGUGGCUGCCUCGGUAGUCGAAGGCCACGGUGGCUGAGAGAAGAUCAUCUUCCUUGAAGAGGUCUGCAGACUCCCUGGCUUACACUUCGGACCCAUCUCAGGGACAAGAGAUAGGACAGCUGUCUGUCAUCAAAUCCUCCUCCUGUACUUUGCUGACUAGGUUGGACACUUCCCAACUUGAGCUAUACCUCUGCAUCUUCUCAGAGAACGAAAAGCAAAAUUCCACAAGCGGAUUGUCUCCGUUUUUGUUAUAGGAUGCCCUACCAAAGCAACUUAAGGGAGGAAAAAUUUGCUCUGGUGGGCAUUUUGAGGGUACUGUCCAUCAUGGGGUGGGGGACGGUUUAGUGGCAGGAGCUUAAGGCAGCCAGUCACUUUGCAUCUGCAUUUGGGAAGCAGAGGGGCUUGCUGAUGCUCAGCUGAUCCUUUUUUAUUCGGUUCAGAACCCCCACCCAUGGAAUGGUGCUGCUCACAGUGUGAGUCUUUCCAUCUGAAUUAGCCCUGUAUGAAACUUCCUCACAGACGUGUCCAGAAAUUUUUCUCCCAGCGACUCCAGAUCCUGUCUAGCUGCCAAUCAAUGCUAGCCAUCACAGAACUGGUAAAGCACUGUUUUCUGGUUGUUCCUGGUGUCCAUGUCUCUGUGAGUGCUUAAAGGGAUCUCUUGCUCCUCUAGAAAACAUUGGCCCCAUCUGAUUCAAGCAGCCCUGGCCCUGGACUCUUCAGCCUUAGGGCAGUCUCUCUCCCUACCUCUUUCCCUUCACUGGGUUACCAGAGCUUAUAGAGGGCACCGUUAACCCCAGCGUUGAGCCCUGGGGCCAGGUUUAUUACAGAACAUGGAGCUAGCACCUGACUCUGGGUGCCUACUACCAUAGUGUGUAGAAAGGGUUCUUUGAAGCCCAGUAUGGUGCUUAUAGCUAUAAUUCCUGCAUGAGGAAGGCUGAGGCUGGAGGAUUAUUGUGAAUUUGAAGUCGUCCUAGGCUAUAGAGUGAGUUCCAGGCCAACCUGGGCCAUUGAGUGGGAUCCUGUCUCAUUAAAAAAAAAAGAAAGAAGAGCUGGGCGGUGGUGGCACACGCCUUUAAUCCCAGCACUUGGGAGGCAGAGCCAGGCGGAUCUCUGUGAGUUCAAGGCCAGCCUGGUCUACAGAGUGAGAUCCAGAAAAGGCACCAAAGCUACACAGAGAAACCCUGUCUCGAAAAAAACAAACAAAAAGUCACUGGUCCUUGCUGUUGAUGUCAACCCAUUACCCAUCUCGUCCAAUAGGUGGUAAGAGCUAUAUAGCCCAGGCCCAUUGCUCCCUGUCAGGGCCGCAGCUGGCUCUGGCCCACACUGUGUUCACACACCAUCUCCUCACUCCUCUUGGGUUAGGCUCUACCCACAUAGGAACCUUGUCUUCCUUCCUCCUGCCCCAAGUGUCCAAGUCACAAGGUGAUGCCAUACUGGUCCUUGGGACUCCACAAGUGCACAGAAAAUCUCUGGGGGUUAAUCUUCAUGUCAGUUUGACUGGAUUGAGACACUUGGGGAUUAGUAAAAUACAUUUCUGGAUGUGUCUGUUGGUGUUUCUAGAGGAUUAACUACGGUGGAAGGUGAGCCCUGAAUGUAGGCAGCACCACCAUGCAGGCAGGGGACCAGAAGAACUAAAAAGGAAAGAAAGAGUGAAAGUGCUAGAGCAUCAUCCUCUCUCUGUUUCCUGAGCAGCAUGAGGUGAGCAGCCCCUGCCGUGUCCUCCCGUGACCCUCAUAGUCUGCCUCAACCUCGUGCUGUAAGCAGCAGAUCUAGCUAACCUUGGACUGAAAUCUCAGAACCUGUGAGCCAGAAUAAAGUCUUCCCUAACCUAUUUAUGUCAGGAAUUUCUUUUUCACAGUGACAAAAAUACCAAAAUAAAGUUCAAGAAUAUUGCUACUAUCCUCUUAAAGUAGCCAUAUUAUUCCUAAGAAAAGUCCCUCCCAGGGAUCUUCUAGAUCACAGAGUACGCUUAUGGGCAUGGAGCAGCCCAGAGGGAUGAGAAAAGAGGUAGAUGCCAGUGUGCAGUCCCUGCCCUUCCUGCCAUACCUUGCAUAUCUCUUUUUACUGUCUAGUUAGAGGCUCUACCGAUCACCUGCCCAAUCCAGGCACCAGAAGUGUCUUCCACUUCUAGAGCAAGCAGCAAAGUGUCUCUCAGUUGACCCUGUUCUGCCUCCAACCUCCAAGGCUGUCUAUUCUCUUUGACUGGGGCUCAGCCUCGAGGUGUGCUGUUCCUGCCCCUAACUACUACUACUACUACUACUACUACUACUACUACUACAACUACUACAACAACAACUAAUACUACUACUACUACUGCAACAACUACAACUACUACUACUAUAACAAUUACUACUACAACUACUACAAAUACAGCAGCUACUACUACAAAUACUACUACAACAACUACUACAACAGCUACUAAUACUACUGUAACAAUUACUUCUAUAACAAGAGCCACUGCUACUUCCUCCUCCAUCUUACAGGUGUUCUGAACAUGGAACUCAGUCUUCAUGUUUGCACAGAGAACACUUUAUUGACUGAGCUAUCUCUUAAAACCUAUAUAAAGUCGAUCAAUAAAAUUAUCCCGUAAUAAAUCGAUGGAACUCUAGCUGUAAAAGACUCCGCUUCCAGGUCCCCAGUCUCUGGAAGUGCCUCACAGGACCGCAGCUCAUCUGGAAAGGGUGGACACUGGGGAGUCCUCAUACUGUCCAGAAUUCACUCUCCGUCGUCCAUGCCCUCUUGUGUGUCCGAGCACCCAGAAAACAUCUCCACCUGCUACAGUCACGGCUUGUUUGAUGAAGCCAAUUCAUUUAAAGUGAGAUUCCAUCUUCCCCUGGAUUAGAGUUCCAGCGAGGCACAUACCAAGUCCCCAAGUGAAUUGUUGCUGUCGGUACAAAAGUAACUAACUCCUAGCUGAGGAGGAAGCCGGGGUAGGGCUGCUUCUUCGGAGCGGUGAAGGAAGCCGCUGCCCACUGUGAGCCGCAAGCUCUCCUGCUCGGCACUACUGUGUCUGAGAUGCACGGAGCCUGUGUCCUAGCCAGCCAUCGGCAGCAGAGGGCAGCAGAGAUCAGGACAUGGAGUUAUAUCAGCACCUCACUUCCCAGAAGGAGAAUUCAAGUCCACUAAUCUGUCCUGUUGGGACCCCUGCUGGGCAGCUCAGCACUCCAGAACCAUUAGCCAAAGCAGCAAGACAUUCCCUAAUCUCCACUUGCUUUCUUUUGUGACCAGGGUAGCCUUCCACAGGGUCUUGCCUCUCAGAGUCAGUUUUAAAUCAACUGCAGAGCCUCUCUGCCUAUAUGGAAAUGAAGGCCUGGAGAGGGAAAAUGUGGCCUGUGGUCACAUGUGGGUGGCAGGCUCAGGACAGGGCCCAGAAUUCCUCAUGCUACCCCUUUCUAAGUUUACUUCUUGUCAGAGUGAAGUGGGCCAGUGCCUGGGGGUGAGAGUCCCUCUGUGGGAAUUUGGGGGCAUGGGAGAACUUCAGAGUAUAUGGAGAACAAUAGUGAGCCCCCAUGUGGGUCUCAGGAAUUCAGAUUUCUCUCCAUAGGCAGCUAGAAAAAGAGCCCUUUACAGAACUAAACAGUAGGUGAUUCCCAGGCAGCACCUUGACAGCUCAUCUGGUCUUCACACCCUGUAGUCUGUGGUGGUAUUUUGUGUAAGCUCUAACAAAUAAAGCUUGCUGAAGAUCAGAGGGUAAAGCCAGCCACUAGUUAGCCAUAGAGACCAGGCAGUGGUAGCACACGCCUUUAAUCCCAGCACUAGGGAGGUUGAGACAGGAAGUGAUAUGGCUGAGCGGAGAAAGGAAUAUAAGGCCGGAGGAGAGAGGACUUCAGCCCCUUUUAGGCUGAGGAGUUGGUGGGGUGAGAGGUGGCUGUGGCUUGUUCCUUUGUUUCUCUGAUCUUCCAGCAUUUACCCCGAUACCUGGCUCUGGGUAAAUUAGGAUUUGUGCUACAAAAGCCCAAAAUCAUGAAGCCUCUGCACUUCUGGAAUCAUGGUCUCUACACCUCUGAGUUCUGGAGUCACGUGACCAAACAUUUAGCUUCCCUGGUGCCGUCUGCAGCCCCCCACAGCUGGUCUCAGCGGCUCUGGAAUCUAUGCAUUACAGUCCCCUGAGAUACAAGGAUGGUGUCCUCCUGUGUGUGCCUAUCAGGCCCCACUGCCCAAGUUUUGUGCACCCCUGUGAUGGUUAAUCUUGGCUGUCAACUGGAUUUGCAAUCACUUGGGAGACACAGUCCUUGGGUAUGUCUCUGAGGGUAGGUCUGGGGUUUAGCUGAGGUGAGAAGAUCCAUUUUGAAAGCAGAUAGCAGGAUUGCGUGGGCUGACAUCUCAGAGUCUCGAAGAGAAGGCAAGCUAAGCACCAGCAUUCAUCUGUUCUCUGGCUGUGGCAAGGUGGCACCCUCCUAACUCUGCUGCAGGCCUUCCCCAGCAGGAAGGACUGUGUCCCUCAGACUGUGAGUCAGAAUAAACCUUAUCACGGCAAUGUACAGCCUCCAGCCUGCCACCACCAUCACACACACACUAGGCUGACAGUCACCUCAGGAUAUUGAAGGGAGCCAGGAAGAGGCACACAGACCUGAGGUUAUGUAGGUGCCCCAUGUGAGUUCCAGAUAUAAGGGCAUGUCUUGGUCUGGAGUCCCCCCACAGACAGGCAAGGCCCCAGGAAACGGCACAGCCCCUACCAAUCUCAGCAGCUCUGCCGACUCCACCUGCCCUAAGAUCUGGUGGCUCUGCAUUGAUAGCUGUGACCCUUGCAGGAUCCUACAGGCCCCCAAGGACUCUAGUUCAUGUGUGCUGUGGUCCAGCUGGGACUCACACCUGUGACAGACGUGGACCACGGGGGUGUGGGGCUGCAGCUGACUCCUGCAGGCUGAGUCUCUGUUCCUUCACCGAGGGCAUAUAGAGUGUGUGUGUGUGUGGGGGGGGGGGGCAGGGGCUGUCACCCUGGGCCUUGGCAGAUAAUCUAGAAGGGGUGCAGGUUGGGCAGGGUUGCUCAUCAGCUACCCAGCUGCUCUGACUCUGGCCUCUCUCCAGUCAGACAGCAGAAGUUUGGGGCCCAGUGGCCUGCUUGGAGAUGGGGCAUGAGAGGGGUCUCAUUAUGAAAGGGGGGGGGUGCUUAUGGGAUAGAAAAUCUGCUCAAAUGGCAUUUUCUGGGCCCAGUGCCACCCUUUAGAAUCAGUAGAGGCAGGCAUCUCCAUUUUAGCAACCCCGACCCCAUGCGUGACUCCCAGUGUUACGCUGUGCGUGAGUAACACAAUUUAGAAAUAAUCUUUCAUUCUUGCAAUGGACAGGUUAUUUACAAAGCACUUCCUUCCUCGGCCCUGUCCCAUGCCUGCCCCUGACACUGUGGCUCUGAGGCAGCUCUCCCAGGCAGCUUCCCAGAAUUCCUCCGCAGGUCUCAACUCUUUCACUUCCUUCUUCGGAGUCAUCUUUUCCAAAAUGGCUGCCACCUUCAAGUUGCCUCUCCCACAAUCCCUUCUUGGAUCCUUUCCCGCAAACACGCAUGAGCUUCGGUCGCCGCGUGCCUUUUAGUUGUCUCAGAGUCUCCUUCCUGGAUAUAAGCCCCUCCGAGGCCUGUGGUGCUGAGAUCACCUGUUUAUCCUCAGAGCUGCGAGGAUGUAAACUGCUAGAGAAGUGCUAGCUUGUCGAAUAAUAAGAGGCCACUCUCAGUGGUCGAUUUUUCUUUUCCCCGUCAUGGGACAACAGGGCAGGCACCUUUUGGAGAAAAGAGGAUAUUUGAAAGCAAGGGGGUCACUGGGAGGAAGCUUCCAAACCCCAAGACCUGGCAUGGUGCGCUGCCCACCCCUGUCUGUGAGAAGAGAAGCCCCUAGGAAAGGCAGAGAGAAGGCCAGAGAUAGCCCACCUGGAGCGCCCUCUGUGAUGAGGAAGGCCCCCCGUGAGGAGACGCGUUCUUCCUGGAGCUGCAUCUGUCUGGACAGGUAGACAGGAGGCCCCGGUGGGGUUCCCGGAACCUCUGCAGAGCAUGCCUGUAUGUACUCGCUCUGCUGGCACGCCAUGAAUUGUUUUGGGGCUGUCUUGUUAGGAGAUUAAGUUUUCUUUUAAAAAGAUGAAGAAAGAAUCUCUAGCAGGGGCCUGAGUGGAGCUGACCUCUGAGGAGGAGAUGGCGGCAGAGGCUGGCUGGCUGGCACUGCGUUUGUCUAAUUAAUCUUCUUGUCAACAGAGUUGUUCUUUGCCGGUGCCAGCCCUGACAUCAUCCUGCAAGCUUGUCACACCGGUUUCUAUCCAGCUACAAAGGCUGCCUUUCCGUGCUCCCUGCUCUCACCAACAACCUCAGCGUGGCCUGGGGUAUGGUGGUGUGGCACUGUGGCUGGGCUGGAACUCCUCUGGGGAGGAGGCAAGAGGGACCUUCCCCAGCCUCUGACUUAGAGGGUCACAGCUGAUAGGAAAGUUGGUCAGAGACCAGGAAGAAAUCACAGCUACUUUCCUGUCAGAUUACAGUUGAGCAUUUAUCUCAAAACAUCAUCUGGACUCAUCACUAUUUUGAGAGGACUGGAGUUAACAGACGCGUCUUCAGAUCUCAUUAACUCAUAUUCUAAAAAAGAACAUAUAUGACGAUUUCACAAUUUAGAAACAUUUGAAAACUGUACUGAGUAUCGUGGGUGUGCUUUGCAUCCCUCCUGUCUUAAAAAUGCUUUUUUUGUGCAAACAUUCUGAGUAACUUCGGGGCUUACCAGAUCGGCGAGGGGGCUCAUCUAACAAACAGCAAGUUAUCUCUGGUUCUCUUCCCUGACAUCAGCACGCACCUCCCCACCUGACGCAUGGUAGGUGCUCGAUAGUUUGUUGACUGAAUAAAUGAAUGGAGGCUA